rnacentral:rRNA from 1 species
CCCUUAGAUGUUCUGGGCCGCACGCGUGCUACGCUGAGUGGAUCAGCGGGUCAGGUUGCGCGAAAGCGUUUCCUAAUCUUUAAAUCCGCUCGUGAUGGGGAUUGACGGUUGCAAUUUUCUGUCAUGAACGAGGAAUACCUUGUAAGCGCGGGUCAUCAUCCCGCGCUGAAUACGUCCCUGCCCUUUGUACACACCGCCCGUCGCUCCUACCGAUUGAGUGGUCCGGUGAGGCUUUGGGAUCUGAGCGGAAAGAGCGUUUCGCUGUUUCUGCCCGGAAAACUCAGUCGAACCUUAUCAUUUAGAGGAAGGAGAAGUCGUAACA